rnacentral:rRNA from 1 species
AGAGUUUGAUCCUGGCUCAGGAUGAACGCUAGCGACAGGCUUAACACAUGCAAGUCGAGGGGCAGCGGGGGUAAAGGCUUGCCUUUACCUGCCGGCGACCGGCGCACGGGUGAGUAACACGUAUGCAACCUGGCCGUCACAGGAGGAUAACCGGGAGAAAUUCCGCCUAAUACUCCAUAACACUUUCCGGGGACAUCCCCGGGAAGUCAAAGGGUUUCGACCCGGUGACGGAUGGGCAUGCGGCGCAUUAGCUAGUCGGCGGGGUAACGGCCCACCGAGGCGACGAUGCGUAGGGGUUCUGAGAGGAAGGUCCCCCACAUUGGAACUGAGACACGGUCCAAACUCCUACGGGAGGCAGCAGUGAGGAAUAUUGGUCAAUGGGCGAGAGCCUGAACCAGCCAAGUAGCGUGAAGGAUGACUGCCCUAUGGGUUGUAAACUUCUUUUAUACGGGAAUAAAGUUAGCCACGUGUGGUUUUUUGUAUGUACCGUAUGAAUAAGGAUCGGCUAACUCCGUGCCAGCAGCCGCGGUAAUACGGAGGAUCCGAGCGUUAUCCGGAUUUAUUGGGUUUAAAGGGAGCGUAGGUGGACAGUUAAGUCAGUUGUGAAAGUUUGCGGCUCAACCGUAAAAUUGCAGUUGAUACUGGCUGUCUUGAGUACAGUAGAGGUGGGCGGAAUUCGUGGUGUAGCGGUGAAAUGCUUAGAUAUCACGAAGAACUCCGAUUGCGAAGGCAGCUUACUGGAUUGUAACUGACGCUGAUGCUCGAAAGUGUGGGUAUCAAACAGGAUUAGAUACCCUGGUAGUCCACACAGUAAACGAUGAAUACUCGCUGUUUGCGAUAUACAGUAAGCGGCCAAGCGAAAGCAUUAAGUAUUCCACCUGGGGAGUACGCCGGCAACGGUGAAACUCAAAGGAAUUGACGGGGGC